rnacentral:rRNA from 1 species
UACAGAGGUCUCAAGCGUUGUUCGGAUUCAUUGGGCGUAAAGGGUGCGUAGGCGGCGCGGUAAGUCGGGUGUGAAAUCUCGGAGCUUAACUCCGAAACUGCAUUCGAUACUGCCGUGCUUGAGGACUGGAGAGGAGACUGGAAUUUACGGUGUAGCGGUGAAAUGCGUAGAUAUCGUAAGGAAGACCAGUGGCGAAGGCGGGUCUCUGGAAAACUCCUGACACUGAGGCACGAAAGCUAGGGGAGCAAACAGG